CCUACGGGCGGCAGCAGUGGGGAAUAUUGCACAAUGGGCGCAAGCCUGAUGCAGCCAUGCCGCGUGUGUGAAGAAGGCCUUCGGGUUGUAAAGCACUUUCAGCGGGGAGGAAGGCGGUGAGGUUAAUAACCUCAUCGAUUGACGUUACCCGCAGAAGAAGCACCGGCUAACUCCGUGCCAGCAGCCGCGGUAAUACGGAGGGUGCAAGCGUUAAUCGGAAUUACUGGGCGUAAAGCGCACGCAGGCGGUCUGUCAAGUCGGAUGUGAAAUCCCCGGGCUCAACCUGGGAACUGCAUUCGAAACUGGCAGGCUAGAGUCUUGUAGAGGGGGGUAGAAUUCCAGGUGUAGCGGUGAAAUGCGUAGAGAUCUGGAGGAAUACCGGUGGCGAAGGCGGCCCCCUGGACAAAGACUGAUGCUCAGGUGCGAAAGCGUGGGGAGCAAACAGGAUUAGAUACCCCUGUAGUC
rnacentral:rRNA from 1 species